rnacentral:rRNA from 1 species
GUGGGGGAUAUUGCACAAUGGGGGAAACCCUGAUGCAGCGACGCCGCGUGAGCGAUUGAAGUAUUUCGGUAUGUAAAGCUCUAUCAGCAGGGAAGAAAAUGACGGUACCUGACUAAGAAGCUCCGGCUAAAUACGUGCCAGCAGCCGCGGUAAUACGUAUGGAGCAAGCGUUAUCCGGAUUUACUGGGUGUAAAGGGAGCGUAGACGGUGUGCCAAGUCUGAUGUGAAAGGUGUGGGCUCAACCCGCAAACUGCAUUGGAAACUGGUGUACUUGAGUGUCGGAGAGGUAAGUGGAAUUCCUAGUGUAGCGGUGAAAUGCGUAGAUAUUAGGAGGAACACCAGCGGCGAAGGCGGCUUACUGGACGAUAACUGACGUUGAGGCUCGAAAGCGUGGGGAGCAAACAGG